UACGAAGGGGGGCUAGCGUUGCUCGGAAUCACUGGGCGUAAAGGGUGCGUAGGCGGGUCUUUAAGUCAGAGGUGAAAUCCUGGAGCUCAACUCCAGAACUGCCUUUGAUACUGAGGAUCUUGAGUACGGGAGAGGUGAGUGGAACUGCGAGUGUAGAGGUGAAAUUCGUAGAUAUUCGCAAGAACACCAGUGGCGAAGGCGGCUCACUGGCCCGUUACUGACGCUGAGGCACGAAAGCGUGGGGAGCAAACAGG
rnacentral:rRNA from 1 species